CUUGGCGGCCAUAGCGCUUUGGACCCGCCCUUCCCAUCUCGAACAGGACCGUGAAACGAAGUCGCGCCGAUGAUAGUGCAUACUACGUGUGCGAAAGUAGGUCACCGCCAGGC
rnacentral:rRNA from 1 species